AACCCAAUUAGAAACUUUAAUUAAAAAAUAAAAAGUGGGGAGAUUAACAAAUUUAAUUGAUAUUGCCUACACCAUUGGCAACUUUGACUAAGAAUUGCCUAUUUCUGUUAUUUUUUUUACUUUUGCCCAUUUACGUAAAUAUGAAAAAAAAAUACACCAUUUUGGUGAAAAAGCCUAUUUCUUCUUCAGCAUGGGUGAACCAUACAAUACAACUGGUAGUGGUUGUUCCUUCAAGUCAACACCACAACCUGUGAGAGGAAGAACAUGUGCUUCUUCCAAAAGAUCGUCAAAUAUAUGUGAGGCAAACGACACAACUCAAUCCCUGGAAAAAUAAAAUAUACAAAAACUUUCUUGCGUGCCUUAACAUGUGUUUGGAUUAGGGGGUGACAUUGUAGCUCAUACGGAUUUGAGAAUGUCACCCCAUUUGGUUUUGUGAGACGGGGAGGGUGAGGGUGAGAUUAAGUGGAAACAUGGGUGGUUUUUAGUUGCUCUCAAAUAUGAAGAAAAAGGAGAGUGGCUAGAGAGGAAAGUCACGUAGUAGGAUGUAAUGAAAUACCUUCGUGCUCUUACUUUUUUUUUUCACGUUACACAAUUGCAUAGACUGCCAUUACACAGAUUUGCAACAGCAACAAGAAUCCUCGAAUAGUAACGCUCGAUCACUUGUCGUGAAGAUUUCUUCACCGUCUCCGUCCUCACACGCCCCUUGCUUCUUCUUCUUCCUCUUCC
rnacentral:lncRNA from 1 species